rnacentral:rRNA from 1 species
GACGAACGCUGGCGGCGUGCCUAAUACAUGCAAGUUGAGCGAUGAAGAUUGGUGCUUGCACCAAUUUGAAGAGCAGCGAACGGGUGAGUAACGCGUGGGGAAUCUGCCUUUGAGCGGGGGACAACAUUUGGAAACGAAUGCUAAUACCGCAUAACAACUUUAAACAUAAGUUUUAAGUUUGAAAGAUGCAAUUGCAUCACUCAAAGAUGAUCCCGCGUUGUAUUAGCUAGUUGGUGAGGUAAAGGCUCACCAAGGCGAUGAUACAUAGCCUACCUGAGAGGGUGGUCGGCCACAUUGGGAGUGAGACACGGCCCAAACUCCUACGGGAGGCAGCAGUAGGGAAUCUUCGGCAAUGGACGAAAGUCUGACCGAGCAACGCCGCGCGAGGGAAGAAGGUUUUCGGAUCGUAAAACUCUGUUGGUAGAGAAGAACGUUUGUGAGAGUGGAAAGCUCAUCAAGUGACGGUAACUACACAGAAAGGGACGGCUAACUACGUG